AUUGAACGCUGGCGGCAGGCCUAACACAUGCAAGUCGAGCGGUAACACAGGGAGCUUGCUCCUGGGUGACGAGCGGCGGACGGGUGAGUAAUGUCUGGGAAACUGACUGAUGGAGGGGGAUAACUACUGGAAACGGUAGCUAAUACCGCAUAAAGUCGAAAGACCAAAGAGGGGGACCUUCGGGCCUCUUGCCAUCAGAUGUGCCCAGAUGGGGUUAGCUAGUAGGUGGGGUAACGGCUCACCUAGGCGACGAUCACUAGCUGGUCUGAGAGGAUGACCAGCCACACUGGAACUGAGACACGGUCCAGACUCCUAAGGGAGGCAGCAGUGGGGAAUAUUGCACAAUGGGCGCAAGCCUGAUGCAGCCAUGCCGCGUGUAUGAAGAAGGCCUUCGGGUUGUAAAGUACUUUCAGCGGGGAGGAAGGCGACAAGGUUAAUAACCUUGUCGAUUGACGUUACCCGCAGAAGAAGCACCGGCUAACUCCGUGCCAGCCGCCGCAGUAA
rnacentral:rRNA from 1 species